UAAAAGCAAAAAAUAAUUUAAUUAAAAAAAAUUGUGUGUGGGGGGGGUUAGAUAUUAUUUACACGCUCUCCAUCAAUCCUGUUUCUCUUAAGAAUUUAAUUAAUUGCUCAUUUACUUCCUUCAACUCCCCACUUAUAAUUUUUUUAUGUAAAUAGUAAGUCCGAUUGUACAACUGCAUCUUUUAUUUCCCUCCUUUCUUUUUCAUAUACUUUACAUUCUAUUAACACAAUCUACAGAUUCUUGUUGACUACACUUUUGACAAAGUCCAUUUGGGUGUUUAUUUAUUAAAUAAAGUGUCUUAUUGAGUCCUGUGUGUCCUAUUCUCAGACGCGAGGGAACUACUCCUUCCCUUCGAUUUUCCCCCAUGUAAUUUUCAAUUCCUAUCUCUUAAUAUUACAUAAAUGUCUUCCUGUACUAUUUGUAUCCCAAUAUUUCUGCCAUAUAUUUUGAGAAUAGUCUUUCAUAAUUGUUUUUGCCUCACCUUUAUUAAAUAAAACUUUCAUUUCUAUUAUUUGUUUCUAUUUAUAGUGGAUUUUUUGGCUAACUUAUCUACUACUUCCUUAUCCUUCACCCCUACAUGUGCAGGAACCCAAAUGAAGGAUACCUUCAAACCUAUAUUAUGUAAUCUCUUUAUAAUUUAAUUUAAUACAUCAAGCCACAUUGUUUCCCUGUUUUAAUACUUGACAAUGCUGACACACUAUCUGAUGCAAUUAAAACAUUAUUUUCCUUCUUUUCAUCUACCCACUUUAAUCCUAUCAUUAUUGCAACCAGUUCUACUGUACAAGACUUCUAAUGUCCUUAUUUUAAUAUCGUUUUGAGGAAUAACUGCAGCUCCUGUAUUCCCAUUCUCUGGAUUUUUUUAACCAUCCGUAAAUAUCUUUAAUUACGAUUUCCUUUCCAUAAAAUUUGUAACUAUAUACUAUUCAGUCAAUUGUAUCACAUUGUCUUUUAAUUCUUCUUGAAUUUGUAAAUCAAUUGAUGGCAUGUAACCAGCGAGGCAUUUCUGAAUAUGAUACUGUGGGACAAUACUGUAUUUGAUCUAAACCAAUUUCCCUUGCUUUUAUAUUACCAAUCCAUCCAAAACUUCUUAAUUUUCCUUUAUUAUGUUCCCAUCACUCCUGAAUUACACUCUUUGCAGGGUGCAUAACAUUAUGUCCCAGUAAAUUCACCCAAUAAGACUUUAUAAUUUUAGUUCUGCUUAAAAACAAAAGCAUAUCUCCCAUUUCCACUUGAAUUGCUACUACUGGUGAUGAUGCAGUUGCACCACAACAUAUUCUUAAGGCUUGGUUUUGUCCUACAUCCAAAUGUUUAAGGUUACUCUCAGUCGCAGACAUAUAGGCUAUACUGUACAACCAUAGUCUAAACUAGAUUUCAUAAGAGCCAGAUAUGUUCUUCAGUGAUGAUCUGGUUGCUCCCCAAUCACGUCGCGAAAGACAUCGCAGAAUAUUAAUUACCUUCUUACAUUUUGUUUUGACUUUAUCAAUGUACUGUUUCCGUGUCAACUUUUCAUCAAAUAUCAUUCCCAGAAAUCGAAUCACCCUCACUUCUUCUAGUUCUUGAUCAUACAGUUUAAAUGAAAUUUGUUUAUGCUGUUUAGAAAAACAGAUUAUCUGCGUUUUAGCUGACGAUAGUUUAAAACCCCAUUUAUAAGACCAUAAUUCUACUGUUUUAAUUGCUAUCUGCAUUUUCUUUUUCAUAUAUUCAAUAUUUCUUCCCCUAAUCCAGAGAGCCCUGUCAUCUGCAUACAAUUAUUUUCCUAUUCCAUGGUCCACUUAAUAUCAUUAAUCAUUAUAUUAAAUAUCAAUGGACCGCACACACUACCCUGAGGUGUUCCAUUUUCUAUGAUGUGUCUACUUGAAUACUCCUUACCUAUUCUUACCUCUAUUGUUCUUCCAAACAAGAAAUCUAACACCCAAUUAUAAAGCCUACUUCCUAUUCCUAAUUUAUUUAACUUGAUAAGAAGUCCUUCUUUCCAUAACAUAUCGUAUACAGUACUUUCUCAAUAUAAAAAAUACAGCUAUAACGAUUUCUUUAUUUGUUUGUGCUUUUAGGAUUUCUGAAUCUAGAUAUAAUAUUGAGUCCAUAGUAUUUCUUCCUUUCUUCUAAUCCACUUUGAUAUGGUGUUAAUAAUUGCUUCUUUUCCAGAACAUACAAAAGUCUUUCUGUUCCCAACUUUUCUAAUGUUUUCCCCUAAUGAGAAGUCAAUGCUAUUGGCUUGUAAUUUGAUGGAUCUGAUGACUCUUUCCCAAGUUUUAAUAUUGGUACAGUAAUUGAUUGCUUCCAAACUGAUGGAAUUUUACAUUUUUCCCAGAUUAAAUUAAAUAACCUCAAUAUCGCUGCAAGUGAUCCAUCUCCCAUAUGAUUUAGCAUUGUAUAGGCUUUUAAUUCAAAAGACAUAGACCUCUGCAUAGCAAAACUUAAUAGAUUAAACAUAACAGAUCCCUAUAAUUCCCCUGGGAUGCUUUUAACGUGUAUCAAUAAAGAAACUGAAACAUUUCCUGACCUGCAGGAUCCUAUAUCUGUUGUGAUUCUGCCUCAUCUUGUAAUGUCUGACUUGAUCUUGUGGCAGAAUCACGGCAGGAUCCCUUGUUUUAUGUGGAGAGAGGCGCUUUGGCCCUGUUGGCCUUCGGCUCUCCGGUGUAGCGUCUCUGUUCCCGCCCUUUCGUCUCCUCAUUAUUGCUUGUUAUUGGUUUCAUGCCCUACACCUGUGCCCUCUUGAUUUGAUCCCUUAUUUAAUGCCCCUUUGUUCGCUGUCCUGUGCUGGUUCAUUGUGUGUCAUAUGUGGUAUUUAAUUCAAGUGGUGUCUUAGUCUUGUUAGGUGUAGUUAGUCCUUAUCCCUGAUGUCAUGUUUAUAUCCACACAGUAAAAAGAAAAAGUGCCUCACAUAUCCUGUUGUGUACUCAAAGAACCUUAAACUGUAUUUUAAGUGCUCCAAACCUCUUUUUCUCAAUAAAAGGGUUAUGGUGGAACCAUCUAUAGUAUUUGUGGUUCUUCCAGGAACCUAGAAGAUUCUUGAAUAACCCCAUAUUCAGUUGUGAAGUUCUGGAGUCACCUUUUCACUACACUGGGACCUCAAAGUGCUUUGCAGGUUAUUGAAGGAACUCAAAUUCUAAAAAAUGGUUCUUGUAAGAUCUGUAAACUUGUAAGUGGUUCCUGGAGAAUCUCUCUUGUACAAGACAGUAUCUAGAGGAACCCCCAAAAAUUCUGCAUGAAAUAGGGAUUUUUAGUGUCUGAUCAAUUUGAUGUUUUAUGAGAAUAAGAAUAGUCCAAAGUUUGGUUUUUGGCCCCUGCUAAGUGAACACACAUUUUAAAAUCAUGCACAUGAUUAGAAAAGGCUAAAUGUUAUUUAGAAAAAUUUCAGCAAGCUUUUUGAUUAUUUUAUAUUUCUUACUAUUUGUAUUAUAUAAUUAAUUAUAUUAAUAUAUUAUAAAUAAACAUUUUUAUUCUAUAAGUAGAUCCUAAGUCACUGAAAUCUUUUGAAAAUGUAAACGUUGUUGUGCUUUCCAUCCAAACAAACUGCAGCUGCUCUGUGUGUUUAUUGUGCAUUCUCGCCGUCCACAGUACCGUGGCGCUGUUGGCCCAAUGUCGCAGCGUCAAGGCAUGUGCCAUGUGGCGCUUUCGUUAGCAUGUGUGUUUAACUUUUUCCAGCUCUGCGCAGACCGAUCACCUUAUGACAAAACGCAUGCGGACUUAGAAUAACAUCUCUAAAGCAUACAGAGCAGUCAGGUCACAAAUAGCUCUCACUGUGAUUUGAUGUCGCCGAUCCGUCUGCGAUCAAACAUCAGUGGCACGAGUGUUCACCGGUAUUGUUCCGCUCGCGCGACAGGCGGGAAUUCAAAAUAACGGAUCGCAACAACCUCUCGACUGUCCCAUUGGAUAAUUUUCAGUAUUUUCCAGUUGAGCAGCAAAAAAAUGGGCAACCAAGGCCAACAGACCAGCCCACCCUGAUGCUCAUCCUUGCACUGCCUGGGACACCUAAGGCCAACAGGCGCAGCUCCUGUUCUCUUUUUGCCAUAAAUACAUAUCUACUUUAGCAAUGCAAAAUUGUGAAAUGUACUAUAGAAAUAAUUUUUACUUUGACUACAUGGAUCCUCACACCACCUGGUAAUAGCAGGAAACCCAUUUGGAGAGAACAGCAUUGUUUUCUCUAGCUCGCAAGGAUUUGCUUUUUGGCAAAUUACAACUUUAUCAUGGGUGUAGGCCUUGCUAUGAGAGACUACUUUUUUGCUGGACUUUUUUACAAUUGUACAUUUAUACAAAGUACCUGAAAUAUUUCUGUAUGUACAGUAAAUUUAAAAUUAAGGCAAAUUAAGGCAAAUUAUUUGGUUAGUUUUAAGAUAAAGACUUUUCAUUUAUUACAAUAUCACCAACACAAUAUUAAUUAUACAUGUAAUUUCAUGAAUUUAGGAUGGU